rnacentral:rRNA from 1 species
CUACGGGAUGCUGCAGUGAGGAAUAUUGCACAAUGGGGGGAACCCUGAUGCAGCAACGCCGCGUGGAGGAUGACGCAUUUCGGUGUGUAAACUCCUUUUAUAUGUCAAGAAAAUGACGGUAGCAUAUGAAUAAGCACCGGCUAACUCCGUGCCAGCAGCCGCGGUAAUACGGAGGGUGCAAGCGUUACUCGGAAUCACUGGGCGUAAAGGACGCGUAGGCGGGUAGGAAAGUCAGGUGUGAAAUCCUACAGCUUAACUGUAGAACUGCACUUGAAACUUCUAAUCUAGAGUAUGGGAGGGGGAGAUGGAAUUAGUGGUGUAGGGGUAAAAUCCGUAGAUAUCACUAGGAAUACCUAAAGCGAAGGCGAUCUCCUGGAACAUUACUGACGCUAAGGCGUGAAAGCGUGGGGAGCAAACAGGAUUAGAUACCCUAGUAGUC